GAAAAUAGGCUAUGUUUAAGACUACAAUGUAUGACCGAUCGAACUUAGCACAGUUGAUUAAAAACUUGACGAUUGGUAUUCAAAAUUUUAAGUUCGAAGUUUAAUUGCUUCACAUUUGUAGCUGAUUUUAUUUACAGUAUAUAAACAAAGCAGACAAUAUAUUUCCUUUCUCUCUUUUUCUCUCUCUCUCUCUCUAAAAAAGAAGAUUAUAAUGAAAGAAACAACUAUUUGUCUCUAAAAGUUUAAACUAAUAAGAAACGGUACUUCUAAAACUCUUAAACUAAUAAGAAACGGUACUUCUAAAACUCUUUGAGACAAAAGUUGUAUUUUUUAAAACUAUUUGAGAUUAAGUUGUACCAUAUAAAAUGGAAGUUGCAUUCUUUUAGGCAAAUGUUG
rnacentral:lncRNA from 1 species